rnacentral:rRNA from 1 species
GACGAACGCUGGCGGCGUGCUUAACACAUGCAAGUCGAACGGAAAGGCCCUGCUUUUGUGGGGUGCUCGAGUGGCGAACGGGUGAGUAACACGUGAGUAACCUGCCCUUGACUUUGGGAUAACUUCAGGAAACUGGGGCUAAUACCGGAUAGGAGCUCCUGCUGCAUGGUGGGGGCUGGAAAGUUUCGGCGGUUGGGGAUGGACUCGCGGCUUAUCAGCUUGUUGGUGGGGUAGUGGCUUACCAAGGCUUUGACGGGUAGCCGGCCUGAGAGGGUGACCGGCCACAUGGGGACUGGGAUACGGCCCAGACUCCUACGGGAGGCAGCAGUGGGGAAUAUGGCACAAUGGGCGGAAGCCUGAUGCAGCAACGCCGCGUGCGGGAGGACGGCCUUCGGGUGGUAAACCGCUUUCGCCGGGGACGAAGCGUGAGUGACGGUAAUUGGUAAAGAAGCACCGGCUAACUACGUG